AUAUAGUCAGGGAGAAGGAAGUCAGUGCAUUUAUGCAAUUUUACAGAACAGUCAAAAAAAUUGAUUUCUCAAAGUUCAAUUAAAAAAAAAAACUAGCUCAUCUCUUAUUUUCAAGGAGAUGAAUUAUGGAAAAUUCCUUCAAAUUUAUGCCACAGGCCUAGUUUUGGACCUUAGGAAGGAAUCUCCUCCCAUUUUCUCUUCACAUUUUAGUUUCUUCAAGUUGCUAUUAUAAAUUGUUUGAAUAGCAAAAUCAGCCAUGACCCGAAUCAUGGAGAUAUGUGGAUUUCCUUGCAUUGAAAUACAUCUAUACAAUUGAAAGUUAUGCAUACAGCACAAAACUAUAAACAAAAAGGUGAAGCAAACUUUCUUUAUUUUCAGGUAAAAACAUUAACCUGAUGGAUUAUUGCAGAUUUGAGAAAUCAGCACAUAAAAUGACUGGACAGCAUUGCUUACAGGUGCUUUUAUCUGCGUCGAGACAAAGGCUGAACUGUUUUGUCCCAAGUCAGCACUGGGAGAAGGGGAAGAGGAGCGUGGAAUAAAGAAGACUAUGAACAAAAACGUAAAACAACAAAGGGAAAAAAAUUUUUUUACUCCAACAGGGAAGGAAAACUGCUUAUUUUGUUUAAAAAAUUUACAUUAAUUUAAAAUCCUCUGGCCACAGAAUAAUAAAUACCGGCCAGCCCAAGCUGUAGACUUCUUAACCUUCAUAAAAGAAACAAAUGAGCUUUCCUUGUCUCAUUCCAGAGGCUGUUGCUGCUGGAAUUGCCAUGUAAACAGUCCUUAGUGUGUCACCUGGGAAAAAGCCAGUAAUACCCUAAACUAUAUUAAAACUAAACUAUAAGAAAAGUCUACCUAGUUACAAAAGCUGAAUUAUAUUCAAUAAAUUUCAAUCCAAUGAAUUUUAAAUUAGAUCUUAACUGGAGAGAACAUGGGACAACAGAAGCCCAUGGGUAACGAAAAUUUGAGAACUGUGAGUUGUAUACAAAAAAAAAACUGUGAGCUGCACAGAUAAUAAUGAAUCAGGGAGAGAAAAUCAGAGGAAAGUGAAAAGCACAUAGAGCUAGUCUACUAAACUAUAUUUGUCAAAUACAUGUGAGCUUAAAUUUCUGUACUUAUGUACAAGAGUUGUCUUUGGAGGAAAGAAAACUGCAGACUUAGCUAGAUGGAUACACACAGCCCAGAAUUAAACUGCACAGCCACAUUUAUUGUUCCAGCCUGG
rnacentral:lncRNA from 1 species